rnacentral:rRNA from 1 species
GACGAACGCUGGCGGCGUGCUUAACACAUGCAAGUCGAACGGAAAGGCCCUGCUUUUGUGGGGUGCUCGAGUGGCGAACGGGUGAGUAACACGUGAGUAACCUGCCCUUGACUUUGGGAUAACUUCAGGAAACUGGGGCUAAUACCGGAUAGGAGCUCCUGCUGCAUGGUGGGGGUUGGAAAGUUUCGGCGGUUGGGGAUGGACUCGCGGCUUAUCAGCUUGUUGGUGGGGUAGUGGCUUACCAAGGCUUUGACGGGUAGCCGGCCUGAGAGGGUGACCGGCCACAUUGGGACUGAGAUACGGCCCAGACUCCUACGGGAGGCAGCAGUGGGGAAUAUUGCACAAUGGGCGGAAGCCUGAUGCAGCAACGCCGCGUGCGGGAUGACGGCCUUCGGGUUGUAAACCGCUUUCGCCUGUGGCGAAGCGUGAGUGACGGUAAUGGGUAAAGAAGCACCGGCUAACUACGU